rnacentral:rRNA from 1 species
AGCGAACGCUGGCGGCAGGCUUAACACAUGCAAGUCGAGCGGGCAUCCUUGUGGUGUCAGCGGCAGACGGGUGAGUAACGCGUGGGAACGUGCCCUUCGGUUCGGAAUAACUCAGGGAAACUUGAGCUAAUACCGGAUACGUGCGAGAGCAGAAAGGUUUAUCUGCCGAAGGAUCGGCCCGCGUCUGAUUAGCUAGUUGGUGAGGUUAUGGCUCACCAAGGCGACGAUCAGUAGCUGGUCUGAGAGGAUGAUCAGCCACACUGGGACUGAGACACGGCCCAGACUCCUACGGGAGGCAGCAGUGUGGAAUAUUGGACAAUGGGGGCAACCCUGAUCCAGCCAUGCCGCGUGAGUGAUGACGGCCUUAGGGUUGUAAAGCUCUUUUCUUCGGGACGAUAAUGACGGUACCGGAGGAAUAAGCCCCGGCUAACUUCGUG